rnacentral:tRNA from 1 species
CGGGGCGUAGCGCAGCCUGGUAGCGCACAUGCAUGGGGUGCAUGGGGUCGAAGGUUCAAAUCCUUCCGUCCCGACCA